CCCCACAUUGGGGCGCCCCCCCCACGAUGCGGAGGAUCCUCUCCAUGAGGAAGAAGAGGAACAGCGCUGCCAACACCACCAGCAGCUGCCAUGGCUGCACACGCGUGUGCGCCUCCGCGUGCUCCUCGUGGCCCCCCUCCUCGUGCACGUGCAGCUCUAGGAACUGCCCCGCACACACGCGUGUUAACACGUGUGGGGGGUGUGGGCACGUAUGGGGUCAGACGUGUGGUCGUGUGGGUGGGAAUGGGCACGUGUGGUCAUGCAUGUGGUCAUACGUGUGGUCAUAUGUGUGGGAAUGGGCACAUGUGGUCAUAUGUGUGGUUAUAUGUGUGGUCGUGGGUCAUACGUGUGGUCAUAUGUGUGGAAAUGGGCACAUGUGGGCAUGUAUGGGGUCAUGCCUGUGGUCGUAUGUGUGGCUAAGGUUCAUACAUGUGGUCAUAUGUGAGGCCAUAGGUGUAUGUGGUCAUGUAUGUGGUCAUACGUGUGGUCAUAUGUGUGGGAAUGGGCACAUGUGGUCAUGUAUGUGGUCAUACAUGUGGUCAUAUGUGUGGGAAUUGGCACAUGUGGUCAUAUGUGUGGUUAUAUGUGUGGUCAUGGGCCAUACGUGUGGUCAUAUGUGUGGGAAUGGGCACAUGUGGUCAUGUAUGUGGUCAUACGUGUGGUUAUAUGUGUGGUAAUGGGUCAUACAUGUGGUCCUAUGGGUGGUCGUGGGUACGUGUGAUCAUGUAUGCGGUCAUACAUGUGGUUUUAUGUGUGGAAAUGGGCAUAUGUGGGCAUGUAUGGGGUCAUGUGUGUGGUUAUAUGUGUGGCUGUGGGUCAUACGUGUGGUCAUAUGUGUGGGAAUGGGCACAUGUGGUCAUGUAUGUGGUCAUGCGUGUGGUCGUAUGUGUGGCUGUGGGUCAUACGUGUGGUCAUAUGUGUGGGAAUGGGCACAUGUGGUCAUACGUGUGGUCAUAUGUGUGGUCGCGGGUGUGUGUGGACAUGUAUGUGGUCAUACGUGUGGUAAUGGAUCAUACAUGUUGUCAUACAUGUAGUUAUAUGUGUGGCCAUGGGUCAUACAUGUACCCAGAACCACAUGUAUGACCACACAAACACCCAUCACCACACCUAUGACCACACGUAUGACCACACCUGCACCCAUGACACCACGCACGUAUGACCCCAGCCGUGCCUCCCCACACGUAUGACACACGCGUGUGCCCCCACCUGCAGCAGGAGGUGCAGCGUGACCACAUCUAUGACCACAUACACGGCCAUGACCACACGUAUGACCACAUAUGUCCGCUCACACACCCAUGACCACACGUAUGACCACAUAUAUGACCACACACACACCCAUGACCACACGUAUGACCACACAGGUCACCCCACACACCCAUGACCCCAUGUAUAACCUCACGUAUGACCACACACGCACCCACUACCCCACGUAUGACCCCAGCCAUGCCCCCCCCACACGUAUGACACACGCGUGUGCCCCCACCUGUGGCAGGAGGUGCAGCAUGACCACAUCCAUGACCACAUACACACCGAUGACCCCAUGUAUAAC
ensembl:lncRNA